CAUCACACUGUGGUUACCACUGAGGGUUUCCAAGAUGACUUUCAGGACACACGGACAAAUUUACCAGCUGUGUGAACUCGGCCCAGCACUCCCAUCUUGGGUGCCUUCAUUCAGGACCCAUAGGCCAGAGGUCAGACCUUAGACCAGGUUUACGUCCUGCUCGCAGCACAGAUGAGCUUGAACAACAUACACUGAGCACCUACGAUGCGCCAGAACUGAGCCAAGUGUGAAGCCAGAGGUCUGAUGAAGGUCUGGUGGUCCUCAUCCAUCUUGUAGAUAUGUCAUCUAGAAAAAUGUGGCCUCUAGGGUGAUUGCUCCAGGGGUAGAGAGACUUGGAGGAGUCGCAUCAGUUCAUUGCUGCCUUAAGCCCAGGAGUGACAUGCAUCACUUCUGCUCACAGUUCAUUGGACAGAACGAGUCACAUGGCUCCAACUUCAUUGCAAUGGAGGCUGGGAAAUGUAAGAGGAUGCUUGAUUCUUCCUGCUGUGAUGGACUUGUUCCUGUAGUCCUGCAUAAUCCCAGCCCUUCUACCGAGCUCAGUGCUUCUCAACGUACAUGAGGAGCAUCACCAACAUCUGGGAACGGCAAUUGGUCAAGGAAUGGAGUCACAACCCAAGUACAGCCAAUACUUCUCAAAGGGAUUCUUUCUGGUCUUUUGGGAAAAGUUUCCUUUUUUUGUUUGUUUACUUCUUGCAAGCCUUGAGCCUGAAAGUAUGCAAAGCUGAAGCUUUCUUUCCCUGACUAAAGACCA